AGCAUGCAAAUGACAUCAACAUAAAUCCUCCUUAGCCGAAACUUAACUCAUCUUCAUGCCUCAUCACCACAACAUCAAACACCAACCAAAAAGACAACACCCAUGGCCGAAUAUCAUCUCCAUCACAUAGCAAAGAUUUAAACCAUGGGCUAGGUAGAACUCAAGCUAACAACUAAAAACAUGCAUGAAUCUCAUGGAACAACAUCAAACAUACCUCCUCC
rnacentral:lncRNA from 1 species